rnacentral:rRNA from 1 species
GAUGAACGCUGGCGGCGUGCCUAAUACAUGCAAGUCGAGCGAACGGACGAGAAGCUUGCUUCUCUGAUGUUAGCGGCGGACGGGUGAGUAACACGUGGAUAACCUACCUAUAAGACUGGGAUAACUUCGGGAAACCGGAGCUAAUACCGGAUAAUAUUUUGAACCGCAUGGUUCAAAAGUGAAAGACGGUCUUGCUGUCACUUAUAGAUGGAUCCGCGCUGCAUUAGCUAGUUGGUAAGGUAACGGCUUACCAAGGCAACGAUGCAUAGCCGACCUGAGAGGGUGAUCGGCCACACUGGAACUGAGCCACGGUCCAGACUCCUACGGGAGGCAGCAGUAGGGAACGUUCCGCAAUGGGCGAAAGCCUGACGGAGCAACGCCGCGUGAGUGAUGAAGGUCUUCGGAUCGUAAAACUCUGUUAUUAGGGAAGAGCAUAUGUGUAAGUAACUGUGCACAGCGUGACGGUACCUAAUCAGAAAGCCACGGCUAACUACGUG